rnacentral:rRNA from 1 species
UGGAUCCAGACUUUGAUUAUGGCUCAGGAUGAACGCUAGCUACAGGCUUAACACAUGCAAGUCGAGGGGAAACGAUAUUGGAAGCUUGCUUCCGAUAGGCGUCGACCGGCGCACGGGUGAGUAACGCGUAUCCAACCUGCCCAUCACUUGGGGAUAACCUUGCGAAAGUAAGACUAAUACCCAAUGACGUCUCUAGAAGACAUCUGAAAGAGAUUAAAGAUUUAUCGGUGAUGGAUGGGGAUGCGUCUGAUUAGCUUGUUGGCGGGGUAACGGCCCACCAAGGCAACGAUCAGUAGGGGUUCUGAGAGGAAGGUCCCCCACAUUGGAACUGAGACACGGUCCAAACUCCUACGGGAGGCAGCAGUGAGGAAUAUUGGUCAAUGGACGAGAGUCUGAACCAGCCAAGUAGCGUGCAGGAUGACGGCCCUAUGGGUUGUAAACCGCUUUUAUAAGGGAAUAAAGUGAGUCUCGUGAGACUUUUUGCAUGUACCUUAUGAGUAAGGACCGGCUAAUUCCGUGCCAGCAGCCGCGGUAAUACGGAAGGUCCGGGCGUUAUCCGGAUUUAUUGGGUUUAAAGGGAGCGUAGGCCGGAGAUUAAGCGUGUUGUGAAGUGUAGACGCUCAACGUCUGCACUGCAGCGCGAACUGGUUUCCCUGAGUACGCACAAAGUGGGCGGAAUUCGUGGUGUAGCGGUGAAAUGCUUAGAUAUCACGAAGAACUCCGAUUGCGAAGGCAGCUCAUUGGAGCGCAACUGACGCUGAAGCUCGAAAGUGCGGGUAUCGAACAGGAUUAGAUACCCUGGUAGUCCGCACGGUAAACGAUGGAUGCCCGCUGUUGGUCUGAAUAGGUCAGCGGCCAAGCGAAAGCAUUAAGCAUCCCACCUGGGGAGUACGCCGGCAACGGUGCAACUCAAAUGAAUUGACGGA